GUUCCAUAGACAUUUUGGCAUUCUGUCCACCUCCAUUAUGUCUACAAACAUGAUGAUUUUGGAGGUGGUCAGCAUGCCAAACGGGCUCUGUGUA
rnacentral:pre_miRNA from 1 species